rnacentral:tRNA from 1 species
GGAGAGGUGGCCGAGCGGCUGAAGGCAGCGGUUUGCUAAACCGUCGUAGGGGUAAAACUCUACCGGGGGUUCGAAUCCCCCCCUCUCCGCCA